rnacentral:rRNA from 1 species
GAAUCGCAUUGGAACUGGCAGGCUAGAGUCUUGUAGAGGGGGGUAGAAUUUCAGGUGUAGCGGUGAAAUGCGUAGAGAUCUGAAGGAAUACCGGUGGCGAAGGCGGCCCCCUGGACAAAGACUGACGCUCAGAUGCGAAAGCGUGGGGAGCAAACAGGAUUAGAUACCCUGGUAGUCCACGCCGUAAACGAUGUCUACUUGGAGGUUGGUGUCUUGAACACUGGCUUUCGGAGCUAACGCGUUAAGUAGACCGCCUGGGGAGUACGGUCGCAAGAUUAAAACUCAAAUGAAUUGACGGGGGCCCGCACAAGCGGUGGAGCAUGUGGUUUAAUUCGAUGCAACGCGAAGAACCUUACCUACUCUUGACAUCCACGGAAUCCUGCAGAGAUGCGGGAGUGCCUUCGGGAACCGUGAGACAGGUGCUGCAUGGCUGUCGUCAGCUCGUGUUGUGAAAUGUUGGGUUAAGUCCCGCAACGAGCGCAACCCUUAUCCUUGUUUGCCAGCACUUCGGGUGGGAACUCCAGGGAGACUGCCGGUGAUAAACCGGAGGAAGGUGGGGACGACGUCAAGUCAUCAUGGCCCUUACGAGUAGGGCUACACACGUGCUACAAUGGCAUAUACAGAGGGCAGCAAGACCGCGAGGUGGAGCGAAUCCCACAAAGUAUGUCGUAGUCCGGAUUGGAGUCUGCAACUCGACUCCAUGAAGUCGGAAUCGCUAGUAAUCGUGGAUCAGAAUGCCACGGUGAAUACGUUCCCGGGCCUUGUACACACCGCCCGUCACACCAUGGGAGUGGGCUGCACCAGAAGUAGAUAGCUUAACCUUCGGGAGGGCGUUUACCACGGUGUGGUUCAUGACUGGGGUGAAGUCGUAACAAGGUACA